UGUGUCGGUAGCAUAAAAGGCAAUGCACGGGGUUCCCUACCCCGAAUCUGGUUCGACUCCAGCCGCACGAC
rnacentral:tRNA from 1 species